GCGGUGCCCCACACCGACCUANAGGAGCCUGUCCUAUAAUCGAUAAUCCACGCUAUACCUCACCACCCCUUGCAAUUCAACCUAUAUACCGCCGUCGUCAGCCUACCUUAUGAAAGAAGCAAAGUAGGCAAAACAGUUAACAACUAAAACGUCAGGUCAAGGUGUAGUAUAUGGGCUGGGAGAGAUGGGCUACACUUUCUACCACAGAAUAUACGAACAGCAUAAUGAAAUACAUGCUUGAAGGCGGAUUUAGCAGUAAGACAAACAAGAAAAUUUACCUGAAACCCGCUCUGGGGCGCGCACACACCGCCCGUCACCCUCAUCACACUUCAACUCAGCCUACAAAAUAUAAAGCUUUACACUAAAUAGAUGAGGAAAGUCGUAACACGGUAAGCGCACCGGAAGGCGCGCUUGGAAUAACAAAUAGUAGCUUAACAUAAAGCAUUCAGCUUACAAUUGAAACAUGUUAGUGAAACCCUAACCUUUUUGA
rnacentral:rRNA from 1 species